AUUCUAAUAGCUUAUUUAGAGCAUGAUAUUGAAGAUAUUAGGGAAAUUUUUAUUUUAGAAUA
rnacentral:tRNA from 1 species